AUUAUACUCCCUCCGUUCCGAAUUACUUGUCUUAGAUUUGUCUAGAUACGGAGGUAUCUAGCACUAAAAUGAGUCUAGAUACAUUCGUAUCUAGACAAAUUCAAGACAAGUAAUUCGGAACGGAGGGAGUACUUU
rnacentral:pre_miRNA from 1 species